AACUAUAUGAAUCACCCGGAAGUGGCGCGCACCGACAGUGCUACAAGAUUAUAAACUGGGUGCAAAUCUCCUCGCGCUACACGAGUGCACAGUAAAAUCCAGUUGGAGUGUGUCUACAGAAGUAUGAUUUGGGCCAGAAGUUAUUAAAUCCACCAUUUCAUUUUAUAUUUAUAUUGUAUGUAAUCAUUAAUGAGACUAAGACUUAAUCUGUUGUCAUACUAGCCAAAGGGAAAUAACUUAUGGAAGCAAAAGUUUCUUUAAUAGAACAGAGGAUUACUUUCUCUUGUCUGCUUGCUACCGCCAAUGACUCAGAGACAGACCAAUCAUUAAACACGUGUUAGGAUUUAAAUUUCUUUGUAAAUAUGUAAAACCAAGUUUUAAACACAUCAAAUACUU
rnacentral:sRNA from 1 species